GAUGAACGCUAGCGGCAGGCCUAAUACAUGCAAGUCGGACGGGAUUGAGAAGCUUGCUUUUCAUGAGAGUGGCGCACGGGUGCGUAACACGUAUGUAGCCUACCUUAAUCAGGGGGAUAGCCUCUCGAAAGAGAGAUUAACACCGCAUAAAAUCAAUUUAUGGCAUCAUAGAAUGAUCAAAUAUUUAUAGGAUUAAGAUGGGCAUGCGGAACAUUAGCUAGUUGGUAAGGUAACGGCUUACCAAGGCUACGAUGUUUAGGGGAUCUGAGAGGAUGACCCCCCACGCUGGUACUGAGACACGGACCAGACUCCUACGGGAGGCAGCAGUAAGGAAUAUUGGUCAAUGGGCGCAAGCCUGAACCAGCCAUGCCGCGUGCAGGAAGACGGCCCUACGGGUUGUAAACUGCUUUUGUACCGGAAUAAACCUUUGUAUGUAUACGAAGCUGAAUGUACGGUAAGAAUAAGGAUCGGCUAACUCCGUGCCAGCCGCCGCCGUAA
rnacentral:rRNA from 1 species